rnacentral:rRNA from 1 species
GGCCAAGUUAUGAAGGGCGCAUGGGGGAUGUCUUGGUAUCAGGAGGCGAUGAAGGGCGUGGAAGUCUGCGAAAAGCUCGGGGGAGUUGACAAACAAAUGAUGAUCCCGAGAUCCCUGAAUUAGCCCGUCGUGAAUACAUAGCGGCGGGUGGCAAACGCGGUGAACUGAAACAUCUCAGUAACCGCAGGAGUAGAAAGAAAAAUCGAUUUCCUCAGUAGCGGCGAGCGAAAGGGAAACAGCCCAAACCGUGAAGGUUUCCUUCGCGGGGUUGUAGGGCCUUUCACAUGGGAGUCAAAAAAUUACCGACUAGUAGAAUCUUCUGGAAAGUUGAACCACAGAGGGUGACAGUCCCGUAAACGAAAGUUGGUAAUCUCCCGAAGGGUACCUGAGUAGGUCCGGUCACGUGGAACCCGGACUGAAUCUACGGGGACCAUCCCGUAAGGCUAAAUACUCCCUGAUAACCGAUAGUGAACUCAGUAUGGCGACUGAAAGAUGAGAAGAACCCCUGUUAGGGGAGGAAUGUGAACCUGAAACCAUGCGCUUACAAGCAGUCGAAGCACUAUGCCCUUCGGGGAAUGUGUGACGGCGUGCCUUUUGCAUAAUGAUCCGGCGAGUUACCGUCACUGG